GACGAACGCUGGCGGCGUGCUCAACACAUGCAAGUCGAACGAUGAAGCCUAGCUUGCUAGGUGGAUUAGUGGCGAACGGGUGAGUAGUACGUGAGUAACCUACCUUUAACUCUGGGAUAAGCCUGGGAAACUGGGUCUAAUACCGGAUACGACCAAUCUCCGCAUGGGGUGUUGGUGGAAAGCGUUAUGUAGUGGUUAUAGAUGGGCUCACGGCCUAUCAGCUUGUUGGUGAGGUAACGGCUCACCAAGGCGACGACGGGUAGCCGGCCUGAGAGGGUGACCGGCCACACUGGGACUGAGACACGGCCCAGACUCCUACGGGAGGCAGCAGUGGGGAAUAUUGCACAAUGGGCGCAAGCCUGAUGCAGCGACGCCGCGUGAGGGAUGACGGCCUUCGGGUUGUAAACCUCUGUUAGCAGGGAAGAAGAGAGAUUGACGGUACCUGCAGAGAAAGCGCCGGCUAACUACGUGCCAGCAGCCGCGGUAAUACGUAGGGCGCUAGCGUUGUCCGGGAUUAUUGGGCGUAAAGAGCUUGUAGGCGGUUUGUCGCGUCUGCUGUGAAAGGCCGGAGCUUAACUCCGUGUAUUGCAGUGGGUACGGGCAGACUAGAGUGCAGUAGGGGAGACUGGAAUUCCUGGUGUAGCGGUGGAAUGCGCAGAUAUCAGGAGGAACACCGAUGGCGAAGGCAGGUCUCUGGGCUGUAACUGACGCUGAGAAGCGAAAGCAUGGGGAGCGAACAGGAUUAGAUACCCUGGUAGUCCAUGCCGUAAACGUUGGGCACUAGGUGUGGGGAACAUUCCACGUUUUCCGCGCCGUAGCUAACGCAUUAAGUGCCCCGCCUGGGGAGUACGGCCGCAAGGCUAAAACUCAAAGAAAUUGACGGGGCCCGCACAAGCGGCGGAGCAUGCGGAUUAAUUCGAUGCAACGCGAAGAACCUUACCAAGGCUUGACAUAUACUGGAUCGCAUCAGAGAUGGUGUUUCCCUUCGGGGCUGGUAUACAGGUGGUGCAUGGUUGUCGUCAGCUCGUGUCGUGAGAUGUUGGGUUAGGUCCCGCAACGAGCGCAACCCUCGUUCUAUGUUGCCAGCACGUUAUGGUGGGGACUCAUAGGAGACUGCCGGGGUCAACUCGGAGGAAGGUGGGGAUGACGUCAAAUCAUCAUGCCCCUUAUGUCUUGGGCUUCACGCAUGCUACAAUGGCCGGUACAGAGGGUUGCGAUACUGUGAGGUGGAGCUAAUCCCUAAAAGCCGGUCUCAGUUCGGAUUGGGGUCUGCAACUCGACCCCAUGAAGUCGGAGUCGCUAGUAAUCGCAGAUCAGCAACGCUGCGGUGAAUACGUUCCCGGGCCU
rnacentral:rRNA from 1 species